rnacentral:pre_miRNA from 1 species
UUAUUACUCCCUCCGUCCCAAAAUUCUUGUCUUAGAUUUGUCUAAAUACGGAUGUAUCGAGUCACAUUUUAGUAUUAGGUACAUCCGUAUCUAGACAAAUUUAAGACAAGAAUUUUGGGACGGAGGGAGUAUAAU